AGAGUUUGAUCAUGGCUCAGAUUGAACGCUGGCGGCAGGCUUAACACAUGCAAGUCGAACGGUAACAGGAGAAAGCUUGCUUUCUUGCUGACGAGUGGCGGACGGGUGAGUAAUGCUUGGGAAUCUGGCUUAUGGAGGGGGAUAACUACGGGAAACUGUAGCUAAUACCGCGUAAUAUCUUCGGAUUAAAGGGUGGGACUUUCGGGCCACCUGCCAUAAGAUGAGCCCAAGUGGGAUUAGGUAGUUGGUGGGGUAAAGGCCUACCAAGCCGACGAUCUCUAGCUGGUCUGAGAGGAUGACCAGCCACACUGGAACUGAGACACGGUCCAGACUCCUACGGGAGGCAGCAGUGGGGAAUAUUGCACAAUGGGGGGAACCCUGAUGCAGCCAUGCCGCGUGAAUGAAGAAGGCCUUCGGGUUGUAAAGUUCUUUCGGUGAUGAGGAAGGUGUUUGUUUUAAUAGAACAAGCAAUUGACGUUAGUCACAGAAGAAGCACCGGCUAACUCCGUGCCAGCAGCCGCGGUAAUACGGAGGGUGCGAGCGUUAAUCGGAAUGACUGGGCGUAAAGGGCACGCAGGCGGUGACUUAAGUGAGAUGUGAAAGCCCCGAGCCUAACUUGGGAAUUGCAUUUCAUACUGGGUCGCUAGAGUAUUUUAGGGAGGGGUAGGAUUCCACGUGUAGCGGUGAAAUGCGUAGAGAUGUGGAGGAAUACCGAAGGCGAAGGCAGCCCCUUGGGAAUAUACUGACGCUCAUGUGCGAAAGCGUGGGGAGCAAACAGGAUUAGAUACCCUGGUAGUCCACGCUGUAAACGCUGUCGAUUUGGGGAUUGGGCUUAGAGCUUGGUGCCCGUAGCU
rnacentral:rRNA from 1 species